rnacentral:rRNA from 1 species
UACGAAGGGGGCUAGCGUUGCUCGGAAUCACUGGGCGUAAAGCGCACGUAGGCGGACUCUUAAGUCGGUGGUGAAAUCCUGGAGCUCAACUCCAGAACUGCCUUCGAUACUGGGAGUCUCGAGUUCGGGAGAGGUGAGUGGAACUGCGAGUGUAGAGGUGAAAUUCGUAGAUAUUCGCAAGAACACCAGUGGCGAAGGCGGCAUCCUGGACCAUAACUGACGCUGAGGCGCGAAAGCUAGGGGAGCAAACGGG